ACAUAGCUAGAGUGCAAUCAUUUCUAUUUGCAAAAAGUAUAUUCAAGAUUAUAUUUCAUCACUAUUCUGAUGCAUUAAAGCAACUUCUAUUAUGCAUUUUCUCUACUUUCUAGAUAUUGUUUUAGUCCAAGUCACCUUCCCGAACAUCAGUUUUAUAUCAUGCAAGCAAACACAAAAAGUUUUUUUAAAAAGGUAGUCAACUGCCGACGAUCCGAAUGAACCUUCUCUUUCAAGUAGGAAACGUCAAACCACUGAUGACACACAGAGCACUGUAGACUAUGAAAAAGACAUAUUGUAAGAUUCUGCUGAAUCUGCUAGUGAAGUUGAUUCAGUUGAUAGUGACAGGGGAAGCAUAUAGGUAUUACAGCAUCAGUGACACCAGGAACAUCAUGUAUUCCAAAAGCCUCUGAACAAAAACAUUCAGUUCUAGGACCUGACGACAUAAGCAAAGGAAGAACAGAGUCCAACUCAACCAUCGCAGGUAAUUUUCCCUUCAACAAGGGUUGGGAAGAAGCAUCGUGCCUUUAGGUUAGCAUGGUAUGAUUCACACAAAUGGCUUGAAUAUUCUGUUAGUCAAGAUGCUGCUAAUUGCUUCUACUGCAGGAUGUUCCCUCCCCCUAAUAAACCUCCAUCUGAAAUUUCAUUUACAACUUCUGGAAACCGUUAAUGGAAAAAAAGCAAAUGAAAAAGAGGCUGGGUUUGCUCAACAUCAUAUGGGAGCUUUCUGUGCAUGGAAAGAGUUUAAACAACGCAUAGAAUCUGGAAGUACAGUUGUUAAAUGCACCAGCCCAAAAAUUCAAAAUGAAAUUUUUGCUCUACUGGCCCAAAUGAUUCGGGAGGAAAUGAUUGAUGAGUCCAGGGAUACCAGUGAGAAAGAGCAAUUAUCAGUAGUUGUUCACUAUGUGUACAAGAGCAAUAUACACGAAGAAUUCUUGGACUUUGUUUGGCUUUACAACCUUAAUGCUAAAUUACUUAAAGAUAGUUUGUGUAAAGUUCUGAGUUUGUGUUCAAUUGAUCCCAGAAACUGUGUAGGGCAAAUCAUGAUGGUGCUUCUUGUCAUGUAUGCAAGACGUUAUGUAACGAGCGCGGGAAAACUUAGCUCCGCAGACACGUUCAGUUCAGAGCUAUUGCACUGUGUUGCAUAAUGCGUAAAUAUUAUAAGUAUAACCAAUUAUUAUUGUGUUAGUAUCGAGUCCGACACACACAGGCUUCGAUCUUAUAAAUUCUACCUCAUGUAUGCAGGAUAUGAUUCCUUAUUGUGUAUAGAGCUUUGAUGCUUAUAUGUUUGUUAUGAUUCUAUUAUAUACGCUUAUUGUAUUUUGUAUAUUCUACUACCCGCAUUCUUCAAUGUAGUUUAAGCCAAUAAACACAAGCAAGAAGGUAUUGCUUUAUUAUCGCCCUUCAUCCCGGAACCUCGGCGACGAGAAAUGAAAUAUCCAAUACUAAAACACUAUCUUUCCUUCUACCUACAGAAAGAAGAGGAGAGGAAAGACAGCCAAAAAAUAUUUCAGGUUUAGAGAGAGAGAGAUUUCGGAUUAUCCUUCGCUGAGAAGAACAAGAAGAAGAACAAGAAGAAGAAAAAACUCUCAAUCACGAUGACGUCAUCCCUACCUUCCCCACUGAGGCGAUGCCAUCAAUGAGUACCCUUCCGAUGUAAAGAACCUCACCCCCGUCAAUGCCCCCAUUGAGUGCCCCCGGGGGCACUUUUCCGCCGCUCGAGGGUUCCCAGGUCAGGUUGACAGAGCCCGGAUUACUCAGGAC